UUUUUUUUUUUUUUUUUCCAUCCCUCAUUUUAUUCUCGCCAUAAACAAUCAGGUCCACUCUCUCCGUCGCAGGAGCGAGGCCAGCGCUAAUUCAUUAUCCGGCUUGUUUUGUUUCCUGGCAGUCUGCAGGUGUGUGGCGCAAGGACGUUUAUCGACGCCGCCGCCGCUCGGCAUUUCCUUUAUUCUCCGCGUACAGUAUCGAUCUGGUCUCUGACCGCUCCCCGUCUCAUCUCGGCCGACGACCGUAGAAACGACGAACCGAAGCCGGCAGGUCGGGAUCCAGCAUGGACCUUCUCUGGUUUGGCCAUGAUGGAUAUGGAAGACGUCCCAGCAUCCGUAGAUUUAACGUCCAACGUUGAAGGAUCAACUUUGGUGUGUUCAUGCAGUUUAAAACCAUGUAGCCUUUUCGCUAAACAGCUUCAUACUGGUGAAGAAGCCGACACUUCCUUAUACGAGGUCGUCGACUAAUCGUAGGGUCGGCGGUUCGAUCCCCGGCCCACGUGCCGAAGUGUCCUUGGGCAAGACACUAAUCCCCAAGUUGCUCCCGAUGGCAGGCUGUCGCCUUGCAUUGAUGUGUUUGUGUGAAUGAGAACCAGUGUAGUGUGACACGCUUUUUAAUAGAAUUAUUUUGAUUAUAUGAUUUAGUGCUGCUGCCUCGAUAUAUCCGACUUCCAAACCGCACUUAAAAAAAAGUUUUGUUUUUUUUAUAUCCGCCGUAUGAGAUGUUCAUUAUUUUAACAAGAAUUGUAAGCGUUGUCAUGUUGCUGAGGUGCACGAGGAAUAAAACACUUCAGGACGUUCUGCUAUGAGAAAAUGAAUCAACUUCUGGGUGGUCACACAACCCUCACACAACCCUGUUGUCGAUUAUUUACCUGUAACAUCACACCGAAACGUCCUUUUCCUUUUAUUUGUCUCACUCUCUCUUGAACAUGAGCUUUCAGGAUUGACCGGAGUAACAGAUUUCGUGGCAGAGAGGAGAACACGUCUCUGAGCUGAAGAGUUUGUCUAAUUAUGAAGACUUUACGCAAGAUUUUGGCACACACACACACACACACACACACACACAGGACAUUUGCCCAUUUAAUCCUCCAUUAGCUGCCCGGUGGCGCCAGACAAGCUGGCAGGAAAACUCGUGUCACGCACAAUGUCAUCAAAGCGAGCCACGGCAGGUGAGGUCAUCAUCCCCCAGCGCGAGUCCUUACUACACCAGCAGGGGGCAUUAGCAUGGGCUCUUUAAUAGCACACACAUUUAUCUCGUUCCGUCUCUCUCGAUCUCUCGGCCUAUCCUGUAUGACCUUGGUGUAAUGUUUUGGGGAUUGCGCUCCCCUAAGUGCUGUCCAACAUCUCGCUCCUAAUGAAUAUCCCUCUUACAUUACACCGAGCACUUCAGCUUUAUAAGCAGCCUGUGAUUGAACAGAUAGUGGAGCGUUAUUUUUUGUGAAUGAUCCAUUUUAAUCUCACUAUCUCUGGUUUCUCUCUCUUUCUUCCUGUUCUCUUGCAGAAGGAUCUGCCAUUGCCACGGAAGAGCAGCGGGUAACGUACCACCACCAUACCCUGUCGCCACACUAUCCACUUAAGCUUAGUUUAUAUGUCUGUUCAGGAGCUUUUCUGCCUGCACGCGCUUGGAAAUGAAUAAAGUUAGUUAGCUAGUCUGAAGGGUUCUUUUGGUUUGUCCCUCUCAGAGAACCCAUAAAAGAAGGGGUUCUUUUCAUUCCCCCGUUUCCUGAAGGCUAGAACUCUUAACCGUCCAGAAACAAACCCUUUAAACGGAAAAUCUGACAUGUUUCGAACAGGCCGUAAUGCAGUUUUUUAUGUUUUCGAGCGCACAGACACACACACACACACACACACCUGCCAAAAGCCUCAUUUGCUAAUUUAUCUAGUUUGAGACUAAGCCCAUUUUAGUUCCAGCACAAUAACACACUUCAUUUUCUCACUCCAUUAAAAAUAAUCAGUAAAUUGAAUAAUUUCAUAUGCCUAGGAGUGAAGGAGGCGUGGCCUCUGUGCGUCAGUCUCAGUGAAGGAGGCGUGGCCUCUGUGCGUCAGUCUCGGUGAAGGAGGCGUGGCCUCUGUGCGUCAGUCUCGGUGAAGGAUGCGUGGCCUCUGUGUGUCAGUCUCGGUGAAGGAGGCGUGGCCUCUGUGUGUCAGUCUCAAUGAAGGUGUGGCAUCUGUCUGUCAGUCUCAGUGAAGGACUUCUGAAACUUUUUUUUUUUUUUUUUUAACACUCUACUCCGCAUGCCCAGCAUUAAAUCAUAUGUAUCACAGACGAAAGUUUCAUAUUAAUGAAUGCUUUAAGCUAAGAUCAGGGUUUUGUGAGUCAGAAUUCUGGAGAAAAGCCCCCCACAUGAUCUGCCCAUUAAUAUCCAACCAAUCAGGACAAGGAGUAUCUGUAGUUUCUGUCAAUCAUGUGGCCCGAGAGUGUUUUUGGGGGCGUUGUUUUGGAUAGAACAGCGAGGAAAGAGGCUGUAUUUGUUCAGAUUUUGACUUUCUAUCCACUCGCUUUAGCUCACGUCCAGCCAGAUCACUGACCGCACCUUUUAAUGCGUCUUUCGUCUGGUCGUCGAGUACAUAUUAAUACGCCACACGCUGUCAUCUUGGACGCAGAGCAAUACACAGCACACACCUGACACACCGCACCUGGUGCACACGUGAGCUGACCCCGUUUAGGAAGGACACGGUGAUGAGCUGAUGAGCUAGGAACCGUAAACUGAGCAGCAGUGUGGGGUCUCACUGAGACGCUCUCCAUGGUGCUGAACACCGUCCUAGCUCUGUUUUACACACACGCACACACACACAUGACUCCUCAUGUCUGUCUUUCAUGACUGUGUAUAUCCAUGCUUCUUGGUUGUUUUUGUUCUUUGCUGCACCGGUGACUCCGUGAUGAAUCAAUUUUAUUAACUCAAGCUGAAAUAAACAUUUCCACACACUCAUCUCAUUUCAUGAAUCUCAAUGGAGGUGCUCUGUGCAUGUACGUGUGUGUGUGUUCAUUUUUAGCAGGUGCUGCGUUUUGAUCCAUUACUGCCACUGUUCAGGUACCUGCUAAAAGCAACUCUUCAUGAAAGUGCGCACGACAUACAAGCUGACACGGACGUGCACACACGCGCGCGCACACACACACACACACACGCACAGCUGUCUCUCAGUCGCUUAUCAGUAUGCAGUGAAUAAAGCUGUUGGGAAUGAAGCUGGGAUCGUAAUCGUGUGAGCGUUAAAGCAGUGAAGUGUAAACACAUGAUGGAGGAUUGGACGACUCGGUUAUUAACGCACGUGUCAUAAAGCUUCACGAACGAGCGCGCUUAGUCUUACAGCAUGAUCAGAGUUCAGGUCACAUGACUAGACAUUUACUCAAGCUGUAAAUCUUCCAUCUUUAUGCAGACGCUCAUGUUCAUCUGUCUAAAUACGUAUUUCAUAUUUUGAAGUGAAUACAGUCUAUUUUUCAGAAUAGAAAUGAAUUCAUACCUUGUUUUUGUUACGGUAGAUUCUCUGCUGGGUUUAAAUAGAUCAUAUGUAAAAAGGUCACGAUUUAAAUCUAGAUUAUUAAAGGCAGGUUGUUAAAUCCAGAUUAUUAAAGGCCGGUUGUUAAAUCCAGAUGAUUAAAUCCAGGUUAUUAAAUCUGUAUUGUUAAAUCCAGAUGAUUAAAUCCAGGUUAUUAAAUUUAGAUUAUUAAAUCCAGAUCAUUAAAUCCAGAUGAUUUAAAUCCAGGUUAUUAAAUCUAGAUUAUUAAAACCAGAUUAAUUAAAUCCAGAUUAUGAAUCUAGAUUAUUAAAUCCAGGGUCUUAAUCUAGAUUAUUAAAUCCAGGUUAUUAAAUCCAGGGUCUUAAAUCUAGAUUAUUAAAUGCAGAUUAUUAAAUCUAGAUUAUUAAAUCCAGGUUAUUAAAUGCAGGUUGUUAAAUCUAGAUGAUUAAAUCUAGAUUAUUAAAUCCUGAUGAUUUAAAUCCAGGUUCUUAAAUCCAGAUUAUUAAAUGCAGGUUGUUAAAUCUAGAUUAUUAAAUCCAGAUUAUUAAAUCCAGAUUAUUAAAUGCAGGUUGUUAAAUCUAGAUUAUUAAAUCCAGAUUAUUAAAACCAGGUUAUUAAAUCCAGAUUAUUAAAUGCAGGUUGUUAAAUCUAGAUUAUUAAAUCCAGAUUAUUAAAACCAGGUUAUUAAAUCCAGAUUAUUAAAUGCAGGUUGUUAAAUCUAGAUGAUUAAAUCCAGAUUAUUUAAAUCCAGGUUAUUAAAUCCAGAUUAUUAAGUAUUUAUUUUCAUUUUACACCAAAGCGCUGUUGAAUUCUGGAUUGUGAUUGGUCAGAAGGUGGCGAUUCAUUUUCUAUCAGCAGCUCUGACAGCUCUGCCGACUGACACGUUAUGGUUUCUAUAGUAACCGCUCAUUCGCAGGCCACGUAAUCUAAGCCUAAUACUAAACAGUUGAAAACCUGCCGUUUUUUAACAAAGAAACGAAGGAAUGAAUGUUUAUAGCUGCUAUAACGUAUGCGAUAACAGGAGCUAAAUUGUUUACAGAACAUUCAAAAUGUACAAUAAAUGGAUCAAAAUAUGACGUCUUUCUUUAUGAAACAGUCUUUCUGAUGCUCGGCGAAUUGCUGCGGCGGAAGAGGAAUGAAACGCGCUGCUUUGGGAAAAUAAUCGACUCUGCUUCAUCACAACCUUCCAUUGUUGAUCGUUUUCCUACAGCAGCACGCCCCGAAGUGUUUUAUUCCCGACUUCUUAUGCUGCCUCGACGUUUCAUUUUCUACUCUUGACCUAUUUUGGCCGUGAGAGAGCGAUGAGAAAGUUGUCUGGGAAAUGAAUAUAUGGGUCAGUGUUCAUCUCAUUUUCCCACAUCAGGGACAUGUUAAUUAUUCAAAUUGAAUUUCAACGAUUUGUCAUCAUCAUCUCUGCGUGUGUGCGUGUGUGUGUGCGUGUGUGUGUGCGCGUGCAGUUUGUUAUAGUAGGUCAAAGAGAUGAUGUCACUUCAUAAGCAAUAUGGCAUGGAAAAACAGGCUGAGGG
ensembl:lncRNA